rnacentral:rRNA from 1 species
AGGGUUUGAUUAUGGCUCAGGAUGAACGCUAGCUACAGGCUUAACACAUGCAAGUCGAGGGGCAUCAGUUUGGUUUGCUUGCAAACCAAAGCUGGCGACCGGCGCACGGGUGAGUAACACGUAUCCAACCUGCCUCAUACUCGGGGAUAGCCUUUCGAAAGAAAGAUUAAUAUCCGAUAGCAUAUAUUUCCCGCAUGGGUUUUAUAUUAAAGAAAUUCGGUAUGAGAUGGGGAUGCGUUCCAUUAGUUUGUUGGCGGGGUAACGGCCCACCAAGACUACGAUGGAUAGGGGUUCUGAGAGGAAGGUCCCCCACAUUGGAACUGAGACACGGUCCAA